GGAAGUCAGUCGGGUGAUGCGAGUGGGGCACACGGAGACAGACAAACGCUGCAGGAGCCGACUACCAGCGCCGGAAGACGAAGCAGUUAAGUCCAUUUAAAACUGCGGAACUGGCCAGGUUUGAUGGCAAGCUAAGGAACUAGGAACUGAAUCCAUGCACGUUGGGCAGUGAGUCUGCAAGCCACCCGCUACACUGCUCACUUCCCAGGAACCGAUCGUCCUGCUCUGGUCGGGCUGGUAGGAGGCUCUUUGUUGCAGCCAUUUUUUUCCCCUUUGUUGUAUGCCUUCGCGGCUCGUACGCUUGAGCGGCCUGUCGCACACACACACACACACGUGCAUUCCCUUUCCCCACUUUGGACACUGCCCCUUCUGGACACUCAGGCCAUCUCAAGUUAUCGUGUUUGCAGCCCUUUGCGUUGUGGGCAACCUGAGCUUUUGUCGAGCUCAUUAUGUGAACUGACUGAGCUCAUCAAACUGAUUGGGCUCAUUGAACUUUUGGAUUUGAACGUAUUGAACUUAUUAUACUCAUUUGAUUGCCUUGAACUCAUUAAAUGUUAAUUUGAAUUUGAAAUUUAUUUUUCUUUUUUUUUUGUGAGUGGCCAUUCCUUCUGUUUUGUUUGUUAUAUAUUUUUUUUCCUUUCAAUAUAUGGUAUCAUUUUGAGCCGCAAGUUCUGCCUCAGCCUCUUUCUUUCUCCACUCCUAGAGCCGAACCCAGAUCUCCUAAACUAGCCUUGCAGUUGAUGCUGUCUUGCUUUGUGCACCAUAGCACACAUAGUGUUCCAAAAUUAGUGUGCACAUGCUACAAAUGACUAUCCAGAAAUCUCACCAUCACUCUUAUGGGAAACAGGAAAAACAGGUAUCAGAGGAAUAAUCAUUUCAUAUUCAUCACAUAAGAAAUGACAGCAACAGGAACAAGAAACUAGCUUAGAAACAAAAAUCAAACACCUAACACACCAACUAACCAGCAAUCCCUGUGAACAAAAACAAAAUGAAUUAGCUCAACUUAAAACCCAAUUGGAAAGCAUCAUAUACAAGAAAACACAAUUCAUUAUUCAACAACUCAAAUAUGAAAACUUUCAGUACAGUAAUAAAUCAAGUAAAUAUUUGGCUAAUCUAUUACAACACAAAAAAGAAAAAGCAAUAAUCCCAUCUACACUCAAUUCUACAGGUACAGUCACACAUAAUCCACAAGAAAUCAAUAAUAUAUUUCAUAAAUUUUAUAGCAACCUUUACUCCUCAAAUUACAAACCCAGUCAAACAGAAAUAGUAACAUUUUAAGUAAUCUGGACUAGAGGGCUGCAUUGUGAUUGGGUCCCGCUGGGUCCCGUGGGACCCAAUGCAAAUCUUGCGGGAGCAGGCGGUUUGAACUUUGCUGUGGGCGGGAACGGGCAGCUAAAAAAACACUGCGGGAUCGUGAUGUAGCCUAGCGACAGGAUGGAGUCAACAAAUGAUGUGGAAAAGAAGCUCAAACAAGGUCUGAAGGCGCACUGAGCCCUCUACUUCCCAGCGCUCUCAAAGCUGGCGCGUUUCAUCUUCAGUAUCCCCGCAUCCAGUGCACCUUCAGAGCGGGCCUUUAGUGUCUGCGGGCGCAUCUUGGAAGAGAGACGCACGGGAUUGGGACCGCAGUCGGUCAGCAACAUUCUCUUCCUCCACAGCAAUAUUAUGGCCAAGUGAUUCAUCUGUUAAAUUCAUUCGUUUUAUUCAUUAAUUUUGUUUAUUUUAUGUUAUUUAUUAGUGUUAUUUGAGCCACUCACAGCCUACUCUCGUUGCUAUUUGUUAAAUACAUAAAGAAGCAUGAUGAUGCCAGUGUUAUUGAGCAUAGGCUGCCUGAGUUUGAAUGUUUUUUAUUCUUAUUUUUAUUUUUUUCAAACAGAAUACCUGUGACAUCUGGCUAAUAAUUUUUAAAACUGCUGUUUUUCAUGUUGUUUAUCAUAUUGUAUUUUUUGCAAAGCAGUCUAUUUUUAUGUGCCGUGUGAUGGUGCAAAGUUUUUGAUAAAACGAAGUUAUAUUUAAAUUUAUUGUGUAGUGUUGUCUAUCUGCUGAUUGUGUUCUCAUUAAUGUUUCUUAUUCAGGUCUCUCUUAGAAAAGAGCCCUUAACCUCAAUCACUGCGUGAUUAUAUAAAGGUAGAAAAAUAAAUAAAAUACAGAGGAGGAGAAUAGAAUAUGAAACAGCCUUUAUUUCAUGAAAACAACGAAACAGAAGCGCUAUUCCUGACCAGUGCGUCAAAAGACAUGCAGGCCAGGGAAACGAAACAAACAACUCCAUGAAUCUCUUUAUUAAUAGCCUAUAAAAUGGCCUGUUUUCUCCUGCGGGAUGGGAGAAGACACAAAAUCAAUGCAUCUCUAUUAUUGUGCGGGCAUAAAUUCUCAGAGUUUUGUGCAUGUGGGCGGGAGUGGACAAACAUAUUGCAGGAGCAGGCAGGAGUUUAACACACACGUUGCGGGCAGUAAUGGUCAGAAAUUCAGCGGGAGCGGGCAGGAGCAGGGUGAAGGAAACAGUCCUGCGCAGGGCUCUAAUCUGGACCUACCAACAGUACUAUCAGAUUUAGCCGGCUUUUUAGAUUCACCACUCUCUUUCAACAUUACAGAGCGCAAAAUCACAGGGCGGCCUUGAAGCACCAAACUUUCUUCAUUACUUCUUGUCAAAUCAGCUACAAUAUUUACUCAAAUGGAUCCAUAAAGAUAAUUACAGUAUACCAUGGUUACAGAUAGAACAAAAUCAAUGUAAAACUACUUCACUCACAGACCUCCCAUUCCUACCACAAUCAAUCAAGAAACAGGACUACUACAAGAACAUCACAAUCUCCUCAACUCUGACAGCCUGGUGGAAAGCCCACAAAAUCACCAAAUCAUCACUGGCACCAUGUAGGUUCACUCCGAUUUGGCACAAUCCGGACUUCCAGCUGUACAACACUCCUGUUCACUUUCCAUCAUGGUAACAAAAAGGAAUUACUCACCUACACCACUUAUUUGAAAACAAGCAGUGCGUAUCAUUUAAUACACUUAUCCAGAGGUAUGGGGUUGGGAGAGACCAGUUCCUCCAAUACCAACAACUAAAAUCCAUUAUUAAAUCUAAAAUCAACAUAUCCAACAACAUAUUACAGCCUUCCCAAUUAAGUGAGCAAAUCUUUAAAAUAACAAAGCCCAAAAAAAUAAUUUCUAAAAUUUAUAAACAUUUUUCACUGCCAGAAACCUCCAUAACACUCCCAACCACAAAAUGGGAAAAGGACCUGGCUCUAUCUCCCAACUGGAUACAUACUGCUGGAUACAAAUCAAUAAAAACAUCUUUUCCAUGAUUACCAAUACAGAUUUACAGCUAAUACAAUCUAAAACCAUCCACAAAAUACACAUCAUUCAAGGGAAAAUGGGAUUGACUAAUACAGACAUCUGUUCACAAUGCACCUUGGGUCACACAGAUGAUUAUUUUCAUACCAUCUGGUCUUGCCAGCCAGUUCUUUCAUUUUGGACAACAGUUACAGAAAACCUCUUGUGUACCUUGGGCUGCAGAAUCUCAGCAUCCCCAUCGCUCUGCUUCUGAGAGAUUUGACACACAUCACAAUUCCAACUAAACACAAAAACCCAUUAUUGAUUUCUCUAACCUUCUCACUACCUUCACAUGCUUUUACAGACAUACCAUGAUCCCCUCCCCUUUGUUCUUGUUUAUAUCCCCCCCACCCCCUCUCUUCCUCUUUAUCCAGUUUUUUUUUCCUCUCUCUUCCCUCCCCUCUCCCUCUCAUUCUGGCUACACAAACUGUAUAUAUCACAAUAUAUCACAAUAGGCUAAUUAUUGUUGAAACUAAUAUCUUUAACAUUAUUGUUAUUAAUGAUAACUCAGUCCAUAGGGACUUGGGUUGGGAACCGGAGGGUCGCCUGUUCGAGUCCCCAUCCAGACCAAAUAUGGAACGUGGACUGGUGGCUGGAGAGGUGCCAGUUCACCACCUGGUUACUGCCGUGGUGCCCUUGAGCAAGGCACUGAACCCCCCAACCGCUCGGGGUGCCUGACCAAGGCCGUCCCCUCACUCUGACAUCUCUCCACUCUGUGCAUGUAUAGGUCCUGUUUGUGCAUGUGUGUGUGUCUUUCGGACCUGUGUGUAAUUGACAGCAAGAGUGAAAAAAUUGAAUUUCCCCUCAGGAGGAUUAAUAAAGUAUAUAAAAUUUUAAAAAAUUAAAUUAAAAAAAAUAUUAAUGUUAUCACUAUUAUUAUUGUUGUUGCUGUUGUUAUUAUUAUCAUUAUGAUUAUUAUUAUCAUUACUAUUAUCAUUAUUAUUAUUAUCAUUAUUAUUGCCAUUGUUGUGGUUCUUGAUGGUGGUGGCGGUAGCGGUGGAGGCAGUUGUAAGUCUGGGUAAUAUCAUAUUUACAAGGCAGUGGGGGGUGAAGCCAGACAGUGCAGGGCAUGGGGCUGGGGGGCACCUGCCUCUCCCGACUCUUUGCCCUCUGGUGGUGUGGCCGCGGUCUUUGGCGAGGGCAGCGGGAGGUAGCUGGCUUGGGUACCUCCACCCCUACCUCUCAUAUAGUAAAAAUAAAAAAAAUUAAUAUAUUAAAUAAUUAAUUAACGUGGUCACUUCCCACUGGACAGACUCUCUCCAAAAUAGUCUGAGAGUGGUCCAACUAUGGAGUAGACUAAAUUUGGGCCAUCUCCAAAACAAACAAACAAACAAACAAAAAAAGACGAGAGGGGGAGAAGGGGGAAAAGAAGGAAAACAAACAAACAAUAUAGGAGGAAUACCCCUUAGCUGGUCUGGUCCCUGGGCUGUGGCUGUAUUGCUGGGGUGGGGCUGGCUGUUGUAUGAAAAGGUGAUGGUGUCCUCUCCUCCUUGGGCUCUGUGUGUUUGGCUCCACCCCCCAUAACCAUAUUAAUUUAAAUUAAUUAAUAUAAACUCAAAUUGAUAUAAAUUUAUAUAAAUAUCUCAUUAUUUAACCCAUUUUACUGUUAUUAUAAAAUUAUAUUAUUAUAAAAAUUAUGGCUGCCUCUGCCACUGCCGCCGCCACAGUAAUACAAUACAAACAAGACUAAUAUCAUUAUUACUAUAUAUUGUUGUAUUGUUGUUAUUAUCAUUAUCAUUAUUAUAAUUAUUAGCUCUCUUACUUUUUCUUCCCCCCCCCCUCUCUCCCUUUCUCACUUUCAUUCACUCUCCCCCCUUCCCUUUUCCCUAUCGCCCCUAAUCAAUUCAUAUUGCUUAGUUGCUCUUUACGUUUAUUAUCUUUUUCAUUGUAAUAUGAUGUCAUUGUUGUUGUUUGUCAUUAUUUUUGUUUGUUUGUUUAUUUGCUUGAUUUGUCUUUUGUUUUUUUUUUUUUUCUUUCCACUAUGUCUCGUUAACUGUAUCACUAAUAAAAAUAAAUAACUAAAAAAAAAAAGUAGGCGGGCUACAGCAUCUAACCUCAGGGUCAGUGUGGCUCUGGAUGUUAUAUCGCGACAGGACAUUCAUUCAUGGGGCUGUACCCAUAGAGUCUAGUAGAGGGUGGAACCUGUGUGUGAUGAAAUGAAGGACUCUGAAUGAAUUUGAACCAGGAACCCUCUUGCUGUGAAGCCACAAUGAUAACCACUGCGCCACCAUGCUGCCCCAGUUGCCAAAUAUUUUAGUGUUGUGAUAGCUUUCAUUUCUGGUGUUGAGCGGGAGAUGUGAGCGCAUCUCUAAUGAGAAUGACUACAAACACUAGCAGCUAGUGGACAAACACUUUGAUCUGACUUGGCAGCUCAACUGAGGUCUGAAAAUUUGUUAAUAUGCAGUACAUGAGCAUGAGAGAGGACACACACACAGAGGACGCACAUAGCUAGUACUGAACCAACUGCUCCAGCUUCAUCCUGCCGCCAGCCAUACGAGCUGCAGUUGCUUCUAAAAGAUCCACUGCACUACACUUACGUACACACACCACAACGAGUUUGAAUGACAGUGAUGUGGGGCACCGGAUCACCCAGGUGAGGAUGGCAGGGCCUGCGUGGUUCCUGACUGUGCCUCCACCGGAGCGUCCCCCAACUCCAUGCACCGACCGGCGGCUUCUCCUCCUGCCGGAGCCAGCGGUGGCGGAGUGGGAGCCCCGCACGGUGCACCUUCGCACAACUCCUCUGCCGCCACUGCUACCGCUGAUACUGCUGCUGUCCCUGCACCUACAACCACCGGGCCGUGCUCUGCACCUUGCAGAGCUGGAGAGUCAUCCUGUGGGGGAAACCACGCACACGGUCCAGCCACCUCCCCCCUGGACACCUGAUGGAUCCUCCACCUACAACCCUCAUCAUCGGGAACUCCAUCGUGCGGAUGAGGGGGAGAUCACACCGUCGUUCCCCGGCGCCACCAUUACUGACAUAACAGAAAAAAUCCCAGGCAUCCUGAAGUCUCAUCCGCAGGCUGACAUACUCUUUUCAGCAUUGUAGCCAGGCUGACUGAGAGUCAAAGCUCUAUUGAGCCUUGUAUUCCCUUAGCCCUUAGCAGUAAUAAUUUUAUGAGCUUUUUUAAUGACAAAAUUCUAACUAUUAGAGGCAAAAUUCAUGACCUCCUGACCUCAGAUAGUACCUAUCUAACCUCAAACACAGCUGUAAAAUCUAAUAUAUAUUUAGAUUGCUUCUCCCCAAUUUCUCUUCAAGAAUUGACUGCAGUGAUUUCUUCAUCCAAAUCAUCAACGUGUCUCUUAGACCCCAUCCCAACUAGGCUACUUAAGGAGGUCUUUCCUUUAGUUAACACUCAUAUAUUAGAUAUGAUCAAUAUAUCCUUAUUAACAGGCUAUGUACCACAGUCUUUUAAGAUAGCUGUAAUUAAACCUCUACUAAAAAAGCCCACCCUGGAUCCAGAGGUGUUAGCCAAUUAUAGACCAAUAUCUAAUCUUCCCUUUAUGUCAAAGAUCCUUGAGAAAGUAGUCGCAGACCAGCUGUGUGAUUUUCUCCAGGAUAAUAAUUUAUUUGAGGAAUUUCAGUCAGGAUUUAGAGUGCAUCAUAGCACUGAGACAGCUCUAGUUAAAAUUACAAAUGACCUUCUGAUUGCUUCAGACAAAGGACUCGUCUCUGUACUUGUUUUAUUAGAUCUUAGUGUGGCGUUUGACACAAUUGACCAUCAAAUUCUACUGCAGAGACUGGAUCACUUAAUUGGCUUAAAAGGUUCAGCACUAAGCUGGUUUAAAUCUUAUUUAUCUGAUCGUUUUCAAUUUGUUGACAUUCGCAAUGAACCAUCCUUAUGUACUAAAGUUUGUUUUGGAGUUCCGCAAGGUUCUGUGCUCGGACCAAUCCUGUUUACUCUAUAUAUGCUUCCUUUAGGUAACAUCAUUAGAAAUCACUCUAUAAAUUUCCAUUGUUAUGCGGAUGAUACACAGUUGUAUUUAUCAAUGAAGCCAGAAGAAAGCAAUCAAUAAA